UUUCAACGGUUGUCCCGGGCGGUUGAUCGAUGUGAACGAUCCGCAUUUUCGUCGCGAUCCGAGAUCGAGUUGGCGAGAUAAAACCGCGAAUGCAAAAAGAACACCGCAACAGCAGUAGCAGCAGCCACGAUUGCCAAAUAUCCAAAGUGAACCUUAAAAUAAAACAAACAAGUAAACAAUUAUGGGCAAACAAUCGUCGUUGUCGGUCGUGACGAGUGGUGUUUGGCUUUUGUCCGGGGUUUUACUACUAAGUUUUACGGAGACAAGGGCCUAUGGCUUUGGACGUUGCCCGAAUUACCCAUCGAUGCCAAAGUUCAACAUGAGCAGGGUUCUAGGUCAUUGGUACGAGGUAGAGCGUUCAUUUUACCUGCCGGAAAUUGCCUCCGGUUGCACCACCUUCCAAUUCCAGCCGUAUAAUAAAGCAGAGCAGUCCAAGUUCGCCAAUUUUAAGCUGGCAGUGGCCAUCAAGAACAUCAAUCGCAUAACCGGUAAUCCGAAUGUAAACAUCGGCUAUGCGACACCGGAAAAUAGUCGAUCCUCCAUCAUGGAUUUCAAGUUUACCACCCGUUUCCCUGAUGUGAUUGCCCGUCUUCUACCGGGCUCUGGCAAGUACCAGGUGCUCUACACGGACUACGAGAACUUUGCCAUUCUGUGGUCCUGCGGCAGCAUCGGCUCCCUGGGCUACUCCGAUCAGAUCUGGAUACUGGGACGCGAUCGAGACUUCGAGGUGGACAUACGCUCCAAGGUCUACGAUGUGUUGAAGCGACUCUCCCUAGAUCCGGAAAGACUGAUCAUCAGCAAAAACAAGAACUGCCCCGAGGCGCUGUGAGAGGCGGUGCACCUUCAUCCCCAUCUAUAUAUAUAUUUAAGUUCAUUCGGUUAAGGAACAAAAUCCCAUUGGAUGCCUAAUCAUUUAGGCUGCUGUGAUAUCGAGGAGAGGAGUGUUAUCUUCUGGACGCUUGGGUUCAAUUAGCGCUGGCGUCCUAAUUAGUUGGCAAUAAACAGAAUUUCCCAGUCAUUGCAACUCAGUCGUGAUUGACGAACGGAUCGAUAAGGUUCUAAGCUGGCAAAGAUGUCCCGAUUGCUGAUCUUAGUGUGCGCAAUUUUGUUCCUGACCCUCUGGCAGAUGUCUGAGGCGAGAGGAGGCGGCGGCGGCGGUGGCGGACAUGGCGGAGGCGGCCAUGCUGGAGGCUUUGGAGGAGGAGGUCGCGGUGGGGGCUUCGGAGGCGGACGAGGUGGAGGAUUCGGCGGACGUGGCGGAGGCUUUGGAGGCAGAGGCCCAGGCUUUGGUGGACCAAGAGGUGGAGGUUACAGAGGAGGACCUCGCCCGUAUUACGGCUAUAGGGGAUAUGGUGGUUUUGCUGGCUACGCGGGAUACGCUGGUUACGCUGGAGUUGUCCCCGUUCCCGUGCCCUACCCUGCCACCUACAGCCGGUGCUACUACGGCGACUAUUACUACAACUAUUACUACUGCUGACAUCAUCUCUGUUACGAUUAUGGAUGGUUUAUUUAUACAAAUUACAUUUAACACGUUUUGUAGUUACAAAGAUUAUGUAAAGUUACCCCAGAAAGUUCGGGAUGUAGACAGUUCUCUAAAUAUUCCGUAUCUCAAAUA